CAGUAAUUAUUGCUAUUUUAAUUGUUUUAUAUGAAUAAAAAAACUACUAUAGCUUUAUUUUAACGGUGAAGUAUUAUAUCAAAUUAACUAUUUUAUUUUUAUUCAGGAAUAAGUAAUAGUUUGAAUCUGGUUAUGGUAUUAUUACUGCCUAGAUAUAUAUUGUAAUCUGUUUACACUUAUUCUACUUUUUUGUUUUUACAUAACUUUAUUUAUAUUUAUUUUACUAAAUAGUUACUAAUAGAUAAAGAAGUAUGUGCAGGAUUUAUUUUCACGACUAAAGAGGACUCCGAAGAAGUAUUAAAGUUCUGGUGGAUCAAAGAUCGAGGAAUGAUUUGGUUUUAACUGGUUUGCAUCUUAUGAACGAAGUACAUAAUAUGAUUUAAAUUGAUGAUUUAUAGUUACACCUAUUGAAAUUCUGUAUCUCAAUGAUAUCCUGGCCUAUCGAUACGAUAUCCCGUAAAUCCACUCACACACAUAAAUUUUACUCACAUACGUAAAUCCUUUAAAUUCACUCACACACAUAAAUCUUAAAAAAGAUGUUUAUAUUUUUAUCUAUAAA
rnacentral:lncRNA from 1 species